UACGUAGGGGGCAAGCGUUGUCCGGAAUCAUUGGGCGUAAAGAGCUUGUAGGCGGUUUGUCGCGUCUGCCGUGAAAAUCCGAGGCUCAACCUCGGACUUGCGGUGGGUACGGGCAGACUAGAGUGUGGUAGGGGAGACGGGAAUUCCUGGUGUAGCGGUGAAAUGCGCAGAUAUCAGGAGGAACACCGAUGGCGAAGGCAGGUCUCUGGGCCACUACUGACGCUGAGAAGCGAAAGCAUGGGGAGCGAACAGG
rnacentral:rRNA from 1 species